GACACAUGAGGCGCGCGUGCGCGCUAACGCGCGGAGGCAGGUUCCCGCCUGCGGGCUCCGUCGCGGUGGCUGCGGCAUGGGACUCGGGGCGGGGCGGCAGUACGGGACGCGGGGCACGGGGGAGGGUCAGUGCGGAACGGGGGUGGGCAGCAUGGCGCGCGCACGCGGGAGACGGAAGCGCGGCGGCUCUUCGGCCGUUGUCAAGCGAUGAGGCGCGUCUCCCCAUUGCACAGAGGGGGCAACUGAGGCGAACGCAGGCCUCAAGGUCGCGCCGCCAGUCAAGGUCGACUGGGGUCCCGCGCCCGGACCCUACGCCUCCGCGAGCGGAAAUGGGGAUGGCGCGUCCCCGAGACCUAGGAGCAGCCUUGCGUCCGCAUUCCGCGCGGGCAAACACCACGUCGCGUCCUACCAGGCAAUGUCAGGAAGGAGGUUGCCUUUGAGCAUCGCUGUUUUCUCUAACGAGGCCGGGUGCGGUGGAUCACGCCUGUAAUUCCAGCACUUUGGGAGGCCGAGGCGGGAGGAUCACCUGAGGUCAGGAGUUCAAGACCAGCCUGGACAACAUGGUGAAACCCCAUCUCUACGAAAAAUACAAAAUUAGCUGGGCAUGGUGGUGCGCACCUGUAGUCCCAGCUACCCCCUCGGGAGGCUGAGGCAGGAGAAUCGCUGGAACCCAGGAGGUGGAGGUUGCAGCGAGCAGAGAUGGCGCCACUGCACUCCAGCCUGAGAGACAGAGACUCCGUCUCAAAUAAAUAAACAAAAAUAUAAAAUAAAA